GAUGAACGCUGGCGGCGUGCCUAAUACAUGCAAGUAGAACGCUGAAGCUUGGUGCUUGCACCGAGCGGAUGAGUUGCGAACGGGUGAGUAACGCGUAGGUAACCUGCCUGGUAGCGGGGGAUAACUAUUGGAAACGAUAGCUAAUACCGCAUGACAACAGUUAUUGCAUGAUAACUGUUUAAAAGGGGCAAUUGCUCCACUACCAGAUGGACCUGCGUUGUAUUAGCUAGUUGGUGAGGUAACGGCUCACCAAGGCGACGAUACAUAGCCGACCUGAGAGGGUGAUCGGCCACACUGGGACUGAGACACGGCCCAGACUCCUACGGGAGGCAGCAGUAGGGAAUCUUCGGCAAUGGACGGAAGUCUGACCGAGCAACGCCGCGUGAGUGAAGAAGGGUUUCGGAUCGUAAAGCUCUGUUGUAAGAGAAGAACGAGUGUGAGAGUGGAAAGUUCACACUGUGACGGUAUCUUACCAGAAAGGGACGGCUAACUACGUG
rnacentral:rRNA from 1 species